rnacentral:sRNA from 1 species
AUUGAGUUAGGGAUUGCAGCGGCAUCCUUUUUAUACUUUUCAAUAAAAAGAUAUAGCGUAAAGCCCGACUUUUU